rnacentral:rRNA from 1 species
GACGAACGCUGGCGGCGUGCCUAAUACAUGCAAGUCGAGCGCAGGAAGCUGACGGAACUCUUCGGAGGGAAGGCAGUGGAAUGAGCGGCGGACGGGUGAGUAACACGUAAGGAACCUGCCUCAAGGAUUGGGAUAACUCCGAGAAAUCGGAGCUAAUACCGGAUAGUUCAACGGACCGCAUGGUCCGCUGAUGAAAGGCGCUCCGGCGUCACCUUGAGAUGGCCUUGCGGUGCAUUAGCUAGUUGGUGGGGUAACGGCCCACCAAGGCGACGAUGCAUAGCCGACCUGAGAGGGUGAUCGGCCACACUGGGACUGAGACACGGCCCAGACUCCUACGGGAGGCAGCAGUAGGGAAUCUUCCACAAUGGACGAAAGUCUGAUGGAGCAACGCCGCGUGAGUGAUGAAGGUUUUCGGAUCGUAAAACUCUGUUGUAAGGGAAGAACACGUACGAGAGGGAAUGCUCGUACCUUGACGGUACCUUACGAGAAAGCCACGGCUAACUACGUGCCAGCCGCCGCAGUAACAC